UACGUAGGUGGCAAGCGUUGUCCGGAUUUACUGGGCGUAAAGGGAGCGUAGGCGGACUUUUAAGUGGGAUGUGAAAUACCCGGGCUCAACUUGGGUGCUGCAUUCCAAACUGGAAGUCUAGAGUGCAGGAGAGGAAAGUGGAAUUCCUAGUGUAGCGGUGAAAUGCGUAGAGAUUAGGAAGAACACCAGUGGCGAAGGCGACUUUCUGGACUGUAACUGACGCUGAGGCUCGAAAGCGUGGGGAGCAAACAGG
rnacentral:rRNA from 1 species